UCCCCGGUGGCCCAGUGGCUAAGGCUCUGCACUCCCAAUGCAGGGGGCGCAGGUUCGACCCCUGCUUGGGGAA